rnacentral:lncRNA from 1 species
AUGAACAAGUUAUACACCUUGAAAGAUGAUGACACUGGGGACCAUGCUCAGAAUGAAGAAAACAGCACACAGAAAGAUGGAGAGAAGGAAAAAACAGAACAAGACAAGAAUCAGAGCAGCAGCAAGAGGAAAGCUAUUGUCCCUGGACCAGCAGAGCAUCCCCUACAGUACAACUACACUUUCUGGUAUUCCAGGAGAACCCCUAGCCAUCUCACCAGCUUACAGAGCUACAAAGAGAAUAUCAAACAGAUUGGC